rnacentral:rRNA from 1 species
AGAGUUGAUCAUGGCUCAGGAUGAACGCUAGCACAGGCUAACACAUGCAAGUCGAGGGGCAGCAUGUUGGUUGCUGCAACCAAUGAUGGCGACCGGCGCACGGGUGAGUAACGCGUAUCCAACCUUCCCUAUAGUAGAGGAUAGCCGGCGAAAGUCGGAUUAAUACUCUAUGUUUUCCAAUGCAGACAUCUAAAAUGGAACAAAGGUUCACCGCUAUAGGAUGGGGAUGCGUCUGAUUAGAUAGUCGGCGGGGUAACGGCCCACCGAGUCGACGAUCAGUAGGGGUUCUGAGAGGAAGGUCCCCCCACAUUGGAACUGAGACACGGUCCAAACUCCUACGGGAGGCAGCAGUGAGGAAUAUUGGUCAAUGGGCGAGAGCCUGAACCAGCCAAGUAGCGUGCAGGAUGACGGCCCUAUGGGUUGUAAACUGCUUUUAUACAGGGAUAAAGUGACGUACGUGUACGUUAUUGUAGGUACUGUAUGAAUAAGGACCGGCUAAUUCCGUGCCAGCCGCGGC